GCCGAUAUAGCUCAGCGGUAGAGCACUUCCUUGGUAAGGAAGAGGUCACGAGUUCAAGUCUCGUUAUCGGCU
rnacentral:tRNA from 1 species